UACGGAGGGUGCGAGCGUUGUCCGGAAUCAUUGGGCGUAAAGGGUGCGUAGGCGGCCUGUUAAGUCAGGGGUGAAAGACGGUAGCUUAACUAUCGCAGUGCCCUUGAUACUGAUGGGCUUGAAUGUAGUUGAGGCAGGCGGAAUGUGACAAGUAGCGGUGAAAUGCAUAGAUAUGUCACAGAACACCAAUUGCGAAGGCAGCUUGCUAAAGUACGAUUGACGCUGAGGCACGAAAGCGUGGGGAUCAAACAGG
rnacentral:rRNA from 1 species